rnacentral:misc_RNA from 1 species
GUGAAUCAUCGAAUCUUUGAACGCACAUGGCGCUCCCCGGCAUCCCGGGGAGCAUGCCUGUCCGAGCGUCGUUUCAACCCUCGAGCCCCCCGUGGCCCGGCGUUGGGGAUCUACCGCACCGGUAGGCCCCUAAAAUCAGUGGCGGUCCCGCGUGGCCCUCUCCUUUGCGUAGUAGCAUUAGCCUCGCAUUGGGAGCCCUCGGGUUGCUUGCCUCUAAACCCCCCGACAAGCCCGCUCCGGCGGCACAAUGGUUGACCUCGGAUCAGGUAGGACUACCCGCUGAACUUAAGCAUAUCAAUAAGCGGAGGA